AGGCCGGAAGCUGAGGCCGCGAGCCGGCCGCCGGCGCGCGCCCGCCCCGCCCCCGCCUCACGCGACCCGGGGACACAAGGGAGUCCGCGCGGGACCUGGAAAGACCGCCGCGUCCUUGGGAGGCCCUCCGCGCCCAGGCUGGGUCGACGACUCGGCCCCGCAAGCCGAGGGCCGCCCGCGGUCAUGGGGGGGCUCACUUACGAGAGCUAUGGUCGCCGUCGCCAUCUUGCGUCCGUCGCGGCCGCCGCGCGCGCCACCCACUCUUGCUCUUUCUGCUGUCUCGCGCGAUCUGGGCGCCGGUGCACGGAACUCUCGCGAGGAAGGAGGGAACCGAUGACCCUAGGUUGGCUGACAUCAGUCGCUAGACCCGCAGCCCGCAGGCCCCGUUAGUCCCUGAACUGGCUUUCAUGGCCCAAGGUGUCUGUCAGUACUGCUGGGAAAGCUGCCUGUCCUGGACAUUUGCCAUCUGCUGCACCCAGUCCCGAGACCCCAACUCCGUCAUCCGAAGAAGCCACAUCUGUAAGCUCAGGCACCUUCAGCUGCCUAAGGCCACAAGGCAUCCCGGGCAGGCCUCCUUUCAACCCUGGGAACGUUUAGAAUUUAAUACAGACACCUCUACUUAAAUAGGGCAGAAUGUUCCCCGCCUCCCUCCUGAAACCUUCUGAAAUUAUAGGAAAGGGGUUUUAUAAAGACAAACCCUGCAAGGGCAAAGAGCUGGGAUAUUGUAGAGCUGAAGGAAGGUGGACAGUGAGAGCUACUCCAGCCCACUCGCUUAUGGAGGCCAGUGUCUGAGGGUCGUGGGUGAAAGCACAGCUACAGAAAGGAAACCCCAGACCUCUGUCCCUACCCACCGGGGCUGGCAGGCACUGCAGUGUCUGAGACGUGAGCUCCAGGAGAGGAGCUCUGAGGCUCCCCUCAAGCAAGAUCCUGUCUGAAAGCCUGGGAGUAAGUGAGACUCUGGGUCCUACCCCUGCCUCCACCCCUGGGCUGGGUCUGACCACCCGCAUGCCAUCAGGCUUCUCAGAGAGGAGGGCUCCUCUCUGCAGCAGCUCCUAGCUCAAAAGAAAAGACUGGCAGGGCACCUAGGGGCAGAGUGUUGCCCAGUAGAAUGGCCCAGCCAGAUCCCUGGCCUCGAAGCUCACCAGGUCAUAAGCCCCAGCCACUAAAAGCAUCUCACUCUUCAAUGCAACUGGACAGCCCAGGAUCACCAGACACCUGAGAAAGAAGAAAAGGGACUCAGAAGAAACAGAGACAAUAAAGGAAGCCGAAGAAAAAUGAAAACUAAAAUGCCAUUCUCAGUCAAUAAAAAGGAACUGGGGGCUAUAGAGAAAGAAACCUCGGGAUGAGAAAGAGCUCUUAGAAAUAAAACAUGAGGGGAAAGUGAGCAAUUCAAUAGGCUUUUAAGAUGAAGUCUUCCACAAUGUAUAAUGACAGAAUCAGAUAGCUGGAAAACAGAAUAGCAGUAACACAGGUGGGUGCUCUUAGGGCCAGCCUGGCACACAAGGCCUCCACAAUGGAGGGGGUGGAUGGGAGGUGGGGGGCUGGUCUGCCACCACCACCAGGGGAAGCCACAGGCACCACCCUCUGGGGACAGCUUCCCUUGGCAAUAAUGUGCACGCAGGAUGCAUGGUGCCCAGGACUGUUCUUACACACAUUCAUUCAUGGGAGCCUCACAACCCAGUGCUAUGCAAUGGAUACAGCUGUUAUCCCCAUUUUUACUGAUGGGCACCAUCACAAGGCAGGGAGCAGCAGUAGAAUGGCUCCAGAGCCUGUGUUCUUGCCACCACCAUGACUGCAUCUCAAAAGAGAAGUCCAGGUCAGGCACAGUGGCUCAUGCCUGCCUUGCCAGCACUUCAGGAGGCUGAGGCAGGAGGAUCACUUGGGCCCAGGGGUUCAAGACCAGCUUGGGCAAUAUAGUGAGGCCACGUCUCUACAAAAAAUAAUUUUAAAAAACCAGCUGGGCAUGGUGGCACACGCCUGUAGUCCUAGCUACUAGAGAGGCUAAGGUGGGAGGAUUGCUGGAGCCCAGAAGGUGGAGGUUGCAGUGCCCUGUGAUCACACCACUGCACUCCAGCCUGGGUGACAGAGCCAGACCCUGUCUCAAAAAAACAAAAAACAAAAACUCAACAGAAGUCCAACAUCUAAAUAAAUUGUCCAGAAAAUAAGGAAAUGAGAGAAAUCAACAAAGAGAUAAAUCAAGAAAAUUUCCUAGAACCAAACAGUCAUGUUUUCUGAACAAUGGGUGAAAGGGAAGUUGUAUAUCAAGACACAUCAUUGAGAAUUGCCAAAGUAAUGGGGCAAAGAAAAAGAAGAGAUCAUAGGUAAAGAGUCAGAAUUCAGAAAGGCACAAGAGUUCUUGGAACUAGAAGAAAAUGACACACUACCCUUGAAAUCCUGGGAAUAAAUGAUUUUCAACCAAGCCAAGCUUUUUGUAGCUAGUCACACUGUCAAGCAUAUGUGAGGUUAGCAUAAAGACAAACAGGUAAAGACUCCGCAACUUCCUAUGCACGCUCUCAGGAAACUUGGAGGACGGUCCUUCUCAAACAGGGCAAAUGCAGGAAGAGGAAAGCAGUCCAGGACACUGGUGAAGAGUUAACCCAUGCUGACCACUGGGCUGUAAGUCCAAGAACAAGUAGCCUGCGCAGGGGGCUUGUAUGGUGGGGGCUCCAGGAAAAGAAGAAACUGAGCAGUCAGUUAUGUGAUGAGUUCUAAGCUGUGACAGGAUGCUCGUGCUUCUUCAGGAAAGUCUAAAGAUGAAUCAAUGACAAACACAUAUAGAAAACUAGGCAAACAAAAAAAGGCAAUUAUUAACUCCAGGGAAAACAAAAAGUUGUGCAAGAAAUGCCAUCCUAGAACACCGUGUUCUCUCCUGAGACGUGUGGUAAUGAAGCUGUAAUAACACCCAUGCAGCUAUGAUGCCCAUAACACUGGAAUGAUGCCGCCAGGAGAUUGAGGCAGGUGACCGCCCUCCUCCCAGAGGAUGCCAGCUAGGGACAUCUAAUGUAGAAAAAUGAAUAAACAGGACUAAAAGCAUGCUCAUGGUUUUGAAAAACAUGGAUUUCAAAUGCCUGAAGAAACAGUUAAGAGAGUUGAAUUUGGAGAGGAUCAGAGUAGGAGCCUGCAUUUAUUAUUUAUUAUUGGCCUCAAAAAAAAAAAAAAACUAUUCUACUUUAAAAACAAUACAUAUAUAAUUCUGAAAAGAUAAAAUUUAAAAGGAAAAAUUCAACAGAGACAUGAUUAAGUGCAGCAAUGGUAGUAUUGAUGCUUUUAAGUUCAGUUUAAUCAGUAGUACAAUGUUAUGUAUUUGCCACUGAAACCAUUUAGAACCAUGCAUAAUCAGACAGUUUAGCAUGAGGGUUUCCAUCUAGGAUAUGGAAAUUACUUUAGAUUGCUAAUUUUGAAUUGGAAGGCGUGAGAAUUUGAAUAAUUUUGUAAAUAGUAUUGGAAUAUUUAAGAUAACUGAGAUUCACUAUUUUGUACAUUUAAUUUAUUUGAUAUGCGUUAGUAAGUCUUGCUUUGGUUUUUGGCUUUUGGUUGGAGUGCUGUGGUCAGCAGAAUGCCACCCUUCCCCAACAAAAGAGGUUCAUUCCUUAAUCCCUGGAACCAGUGAAUGUUAGUUUACAUGGCAAAAUGUGUCCUGCAGAUGUGUUUAAUAUUAAAAACCUUGAGGA